rnacentral:rRNA from 1 species
AUUGAACGCUGGCGGCAGGCCUAACACAUGCAAGUCGAACGAGUGGCGCACGGGUGAGUAAUACAUCGGAACGUGUCCUAUCGUGGGGGAUAACUGAUCGAAAGAUCAGCUCAUACCGCCUACGCUUGGAUCUGCCGAUGCCCGAUUAGCUAGUUGGUGAGGUAAAGGCUCACCAAGGCGACGAUCGGUAGCUGGUCUGAGAGGACGACCAGCCACACUGGGACUGAGACACGGCCCAGACUCCUACGGGAGGCAGCAGUGGGGAAUGUUGGACAAUGGGGGCAACCCUGAUCCAGCCAUGCCGCGUGGAGGAUGAAGGUCUUCGGAUUGUAAACGGCUUUUGUCAGGGAAGCGGUACCGGAAGAAUAAGCACCGGCUAACUACGUGCCAGCCGCCGCGGUAAUAC